rnacentral:sRNA from 1 species
UUAUUGCUUAUCAAUUUAACACGUGUUUAAUGGGUGUAUCUAAUCCUAUAUUAAUGGAUUGCUAUUCAAAUGCAUCGUAUAUUUCCAAAUUGAGAUAAAUUUUCUCGAAUAAGUAGAUUAAAUAAUGCAUGGCUUUCAGUGGUAGAAUGCUGGAUGCUACUUAUGUUCAGUUCUUGUUUCAGAAUGAAGUUGAUUUACUUUCAGUGCAAAGAAGGGAACUGUGGCUUUUCAAUAAUUGGUUUGUUGCAAAUCAUAGAUGGGAGCCUGCUCCUGUCUUAAAUUUUGUGACUACCAUAGAUCUUUGGGUGCAGAUGCGAGGCAUUCCUCUUCUCUAUGUUUGUGAGGAGACAGCUUUGGAGAUUGCUCAUGAGAUUGGUGAGAUCAUCACGCUGGACUUCCAUGAUGCAACGAUGACUCAAAUUGCUUAUAUUAGAGUCAGAGUUAGAAUUGGAAUCACUGAUAGGCUUCGUUUCUUCCAAAGAAUCACUUUUGAUUCUGGGGAAACUGCUCUCAUCAGGUUCCAAUAUGAGAGAUUGAGGAGGAUUUGUAGUAGCUGCUUCAGAGUUACACAUCACAGGAACUAUUGCCCUUAUAGACCAAGGCUACCUAAUUAUGGAAGGGAAAGAGCUGUCUUCCAUGAUGAAAGGCUUAGAUCGUCUAUGAAUUCUCAGUCUCAAAUGACGGAGUCUUCAUUUCCAGCACCUGUGCUCCCUCCACCAAGAAUUGUUACCCCUCCACUGAAUCAUGGAGAGUUUCUUGCAGCCCAUCCGAAUUUUCCUGCUCCAAGAGAAGGCCUUAAUCAUCAGGGUCGAGGGACUUACUAUCAAGGGCUCUGUCAAGGUCAACAGGUCUCAACUGAUUCUAAUAUCACGCCUUCAGUUGGAACAGCACUCUCAACGGGUUCUCGUCGGGUUUUUGAAGUUGGUCAAUCUUCAAGAGGGGUGGAAACAAGGGAAACAAGGAAGAGGCAAGAAGAGAAAGGAACUCAUGAUGAACAAGACAAAGCGCACAUGAAGGGAGGGAUUCUGAACCCUCCAAAGAAAAGAUAAACACUCUAUGAAUUCUGUCAUUUUUUUUAUUUAGGACUGCAUUGAUUUCAACAGAUGCAGAUCCAUGCUUUGGAAUAAUCUGCCUCAGUAGUAUGGCCUUCAUAACACUUUUUGGGUCAAGACAUACUCUAUAGCUGCAGUUGUUAUGUUUUAACGUUUACUUGUAACUUUCUGGUAUGCAACAUGGCUAACCUUGUUGGUUUCUGAUGCCAUGGUUGCUUGUUUACCUGUUUAUGUGUAUGUCUUCAAAGCUGUAAA